CACCUACGGGAGGCAGCAGUCGAGAAUAUUCGGCAAUGGGCGCAAGCCUGACCGAGCGACGCCGCGUGAAGGAAGAAGCCCUUCGGGGUGUAAACUUCUUUUCUUAGGGAAAAAAUUAGUGUUUUGCACUAAUUGAUGGUACCUAAGGAAUAAGGGGCUGCCAACUACGUGCCAGCAGCCGCGGUAAUACGUAGGCCCCAAGCGUUAUCCGGAUUUAUUGGGCGUAAAGGGUGCGUAGGUGGUUUAUUGCAUCUUUGGUUAAAGUCCCAAGCUCAACUUGGGAAGCGCCAAAGAGAUGAAUAAACUAGAGAAUGCCAGAGGUGGCUGGAACUGCCGGUGUAGGGGUGAAAUCCGUUGAUAUCGGCAGGAACGCCAGAGGUGAAAACGAGCCACUGGGGUAUUUCUGACACUGAGGCACGAAAGUGUGGGGAGCAAAAAGGAUUAGAUACCCUUGUAGUCCACACCCUAAACGAUGCCGACUAGCUGUUUCGAGUAUCGACCCUCGGAGUGGCGAAGCUAACGCGUUAAGUCGGCCGCCUGGGAAGUACGGCCGCAAGGCUAAAACUCAAAGGAAUAGACGGGGCUUCACACAAGCGGUGGAG
rnacentral:rRNA from 1 species